CUCCCGGCUCUUGAGCAAGAGCCCAGUGAAAUCAGCCACUUCUCUUGCGAAACAUUUCUGUCAUUUUAGGUCAAAAGUGCUGCCGGAACCGCUUGACCUUGGGCCGUGCUGUGUUCACACGGCUCGGGARUACUCGAUCUCCUCUCAGCCUCUGCACCCAACACGCUCAGAGACCAAAGUGCCGCUGCUUCAAAGAUGAAAAGUACUGAAUUCAAAUCUUCAGCUCUCCCACCUGGACCACUCACAAGUACUUUGUGGGAGAUGUGAUCACUUAGUAGACAGAAGCUCUAACUUGUUGAGUCUGAUUGAGCCAUUAACAUGACAAACCAAACAGAUCCACUUCUUUCUACAAUUCAAACUUUCAGAUAUUUUCCCCUAAACAAGGAUUCAUGCAUUAAUUCAGUGUUAAUGGAGAAGCUGAGUGGCACUGGGACCCAUGGGAUGCCACAAAGGGAACACAGCACCGCUGGAGUGACACCCACUGGCACCAUGAGGCUGGAGCUGAUGUGAGCAGCCCAUAUUCAACAGCUCCCUGGACUUUACGGCGUUGCUUGGGGCGUGGGGAGGAACAUCAACCCAUCAGGAGGAGAAAAACAACCACGGCCUUUUAUCUUUCACAGCCAAGGAGAGAGAGGUCUGGGGAGGCAGUCAGCAGAGGGAGGCACAAGCUCACAGAUUCGGUGCAAACCUCAGCCCGUGGCGUUCCUCCGAGCUCUGGAAUGCAGGCAGCGGGCUUCAAACGGUUCUGCAAAACUAUUUCAUUUCACAUUUUCCACAUUUAUGCUUAGCUCUUGGACAUCAGAUGAGAGACUGAGCAAAUGAGGAAGCUGAAACAUUCUAAUUCAAGGAUGUGUUGUCUGAAUUAUUCAUUAUAAUCUUCGUUCUCCUGUGGGUUUUUAGGCAUUUGAAUUUUAUGAGGAUUGUGGAUUCUUCCUCUUUUACAUUAUUUUCCUUAAUGUAUUGAAGAGGAUUUCCCAUCUGCUCCUUCAUGCUCCAAAAUCUCAGCUGAAAGAGUCACAGUGUCCGAUAGAUUUAGAGAAAAAUAUCCUCAAUAUUUUUUAUUUUUUGGGAAAAAAUCUUCAAAAAGAUAAAUGUUUCAUUAAUAUAUGCAUGUGUGUGCAUAUAUAAUGCAAAUUUCCCUCCUGGGCUUCUGAUACAUGUAUAAGCAGUUUACCAACUGCUCCUCUGAGCUGGUGGCAGACAUUUAAGUGGGGCAGCAGCUGUGGGGCUGCUUCAAAACACCCCUUUGAAGAGCAGAGGAAAAAGCUCAGUGUGACACCGGUGGUUACACACCAGCUGAACAAAACAGCCCUUUAUCUGCUGCAUCUGCAAGUCAGACAUCACCUGUCACCCCCCCAAGGGUGGCAGGAACAUCACAGGGAAAUCUGCAUUGAUACUGAUCUUCAAGAAGRAAAAAGCUACUUUGAAUGGCAAAAAGACACAGAGCAGCAGUACCACCUCCUGAUUUUGCAGGUUUUCCAUCUUAUCAUUUAAACUUUCCACAGUGGAAUGAACAGAAAAGAAAAUUAUCCACCUCUUUGUCUUUCCUUAUUACGUGCAUAUGCUCCCCUUGGCACUGGCACAGCCUUAAAAUGCAGAAUUUUGUGAUGGYCUGCAGAGAGGUGAGAUGAAAGACCUUCUCUGCCCACAGCAAGCAUGGUUUGCUGUGCCAGGAGAGGUCAUCCACCAGCAGKGAGGGGCUGUGUGACUCGUCUGUCUUCCUGAGCCGCCUUAAGGCUACCAGUCACCCAAGCACAAUCUGGGAGGAGAUUUUCCUCCCAAAACUCCGUGUUCCCAGGGCACACAGUCGAUUAAACAAUGGCUAGCCAGAAGCUGACUAAAAUCUGCCUAAAAUCCAGACUGCUGCCUCUUGUGCUGAAAUGUUUCCAGCUGGCACUGCCCCAACCGCAGGCUUUUUUCUUCUCCAUGGGCAUGUGCAAUUCAAAACCUGCAGUGGCUACAGCCUCUGAAUUGAAAAGCAAGUCAUGCAAAUCCUGAUUGCACAAGGGAGCUGUUAUCUUACUAAAGUUUACGGAUUUCACAGAGUCUGAGGCUGGAGAGCUCCAUUCCAAGUGAGAGGUUGAACUCAGGGUCUCGCACAGCACAAGUCGCUGCUUAGAGUCAGGUAGCUCCGGGCUGACUGAUGACAGUGUUUGGAAACCGUGUCGGUCCUCAGGCGGUAAAACAAUGUUCCAGAAACAAAACCUCUGCCUACUCUGUAUCAGUCUUGCAUCUCUGUAUCCACCUUGUCUGUAUCAGACAAGAUGUGUCUGAUCAGUGAAGCACAGUGGAAAAUACUUAUUAACCUUUACUGACAGAGUCACAGUGUAACCACUUCAUUAAUUUAUCCCUGASUGGAGUCUGUUUAUCAGUCUAGUAUCAUUCCCUUGUAAGUACUGGUUCAUGWUGACCCUCCAUCAGUCCUCUGGCAUCUCUCCAGAUUUCCAAAGUUUGGUAAGAUCUAAAAUUAGUGAAAUGACAGUACUGAGCUACUGUUGUUAAGACUGGGAGUGUGCAUGACCCCAGACUUCUGAAGUGAAAGUACUGACAUUUAGCAGUGAUGUUUCACAUCCUCCUUAGCUUACAGGUGCUAAAUUAUUUCCUCUGGUAUAAACGGAUUCUACUACCUUGUUCUGAUAUAGUAAAGCAGGAAUUAUGAACAUCUGGUGUGAUAUUUUUCCCCUCUGAUGGAUAUAAAUGUUAAAGUUGUAAAUAACAGAGAAGCUAUUCAUAAGUUAAAAUUUCUGGUGAUACUUAAAUGUCUUCUUACUGUCUACAACAUACUGAAGUUUUUAUAUUUCUUCUGUUUCUGUUGCCUUGCAGUCUCAAGGAUCUGCUUGGAAUAUACAUUCUAUAGCAAUGAAUAUCUCUUCUAAACACCUCUUCUGAACUCAUCCUUCAGAUCUGUCUAUGAUCUAUCUAUCCAUCCAUCUAUCCAUCUAUCUACCUUUCUUCUCUGCUGAGAUAUUGCUCUGGUGUGACAAAAUAUGAAUCCACUGUUGUUUUAAAUAAA